rnacentral:lncRNA from 1 species
UCAAACGAAAUCUUUAUAAUUAAGCCUAAUUUAACCUAAUACAGUACACGAAGUAUAACAUUUUAUGUUCAUACACAAGAAGCAUUAUGCUCCACAGUUCAUAUUUUUCAAAUUAGUAGUGCUUAUAAUAAAACCAUGUACUAAACAACAUAUUAAUCGACCACCUAACGCUUCGAGAGGAACUUACAUGCAUCGGGAAUGCCACUUUGGCGGCAUCCCAAGCCAUCACGCACUGCCGUAUGUUUUUGGGAUACCGCCAGCAUCUCCGUUGCAAGUUCUACAACGAUGCUUAUCAUCAAUCAUGCUGGAAGUAAGCUCUUACAUCCAGUGGCUACGCCGAAUCCGGUAAACGAGUUCCGAUCCUUCCAAGCCGCCGAAACAAGAACAUGAACGAACGGUUCCGAGGCAGCAGAAGAGAGCUCUCAAAUUACCUCAACAAAAUGGUAAAUAAAGUAAGUAAAUACUAGACAAUCUUACAACUACACACGACAGAGCACCCGAGUAAAAAUGUCAAGCUUUUUUGCUACGUAUCAAUGGCUGCCUUGCGGGUAAAGUUAAGUAGAAUCAAUCUAUUAACAGUCAGGAUUCACGAAGCUCUUCACCUCCUCCAUGAGGCAGUAGAAAUGCUCGUUGUUCGGCAAGAAGUAGAACCCGAUCGUCGCCUGCUUUAAGAACCGAAGCUUCACAUCCUGCCCUGCGUUUUUAAGCCCUUCCACAUAAGCCAAUUGCCAAUCUUGCAUGAGAUCGAAACCGGCCACAACAACAAGACUCUUGGGAAAUUUCAAGCCCUCGAGGCUCUUGUCCCUCGGGCCGAAAACGUGACACGCCGGAUGAUCUCUGUCUUCGCCUUCUGGCAGAAAUGCCCGCCAGUACCAAUCACGGUCUUGUAUUGUUACGAAGUACUUCCCAUCCAAUCUCUUCUCUGUUUCUGUUCUCUUCUGCCCCCCAAACAUCGGGUGGAGAAGGAUGUUUCCGAGCACCUCAACCUCCGCUUCUGCCGCCUUGACUGCGACGUGGUGAGCAAUGUUGCCGCCCGAGCUGUCUCCAGCUAGGUAAAC